GAUUGGCUUAGUUGGGUAGAGCAUGGUGUUGAUAACACCAAGGUUGCAAGUUCAAUCCCCAUAUGGGACA